AAUAUUGGUCAAUGGAGGCAACUCUGAACCAGCCAUGCCGCGUGCAGGAUGACUGCCCCUAUGGGUUGUAAACUGCUUUUAUAUAGGAAGAAAAGUACCUACGUGUAGGUAUCUGACGGUACUAUAAGAAUAAGGACCGGCUAACUCCGUGCCAGCAGCCGCGGUAAUACGGAGGGUCCAAGCGUUAUCCGGAUUUAUUGGGUUUAAAGGGUCCGUAGGCGGGCUUAUAAGUCAGAGGUGAAAUCCCACAGCUCAACUGUGGAACUGCCUUUGAUACUGUAGGUCUUGAAUGUACUUGAGGUAGGCGGAAUAUGUAGUGUAGCGGUGAAAUGCAUAGAUAUUACAUAGAACACCAAUUGCGAAGGCAGCUUACUAAGAUAUAAUUGACGCUGAUGGACGAAAGCGUGGGUAGCGAACGGGAUUAGAUACCCCGGUAGUCCACGCCGUAAACGAUGCUAACUCGGUGCUUGUCUACUUGAAGAUGAGUGCCAAAGCGAAAGUAUUAAGUUA
rnacentral:rRNA from 1 species